AGAGCAUUUAAUGAGGGUACGUUCUCCCUCUUCUCUCUUCUGCAGGUCAAAGCAACCAGCCAAAUUCCUAUCCCCAAUUCUUUCCCUUUCCUCGCCGUCUUCUUCUUCUCUCCUUCUUUCCUUCUCUGCAAAACUACUUCACCUCAUCCCAGAAUUCAAAAUUCAAAAUUCAAAAUUCAAAAUUUAAAAGUUAAACACACUCUCUCUCUCUUAUUUACCAUGAACAUAUGAACACACAAAUGCUAUGACUUUUCAUCUUCAUUUUAGAGUGAAAUUAAAUCAGAGACGGAUAGGGUUUCCAUUAGUGAUCUCUGGUUGGAUGUUCUUCAAGAACAGGUUUGUAUGUCUCAUCAACAGUCAGAUCUGCAUCAAUGUUAGGUGUUUUCGGUAGAGAUGGAAUUCCAGCACUAAUUGGUGCCUGAUUUUGGUGGGGUUAAACCCGUACUGCAGCGACAUAUCAGAUUCCAGUCAAGCCUAGGGUUCCGGCGAGUACUUAGAGCAAUUUGCUUAAAUCUAUGGGAUACUUUAGCGUUAACGGGCCAGUUGUAUACAUCAAGAAACAAUCAAAGAUCUCAUGGACAAGGGAAGUUAAUUUUUCUUCUCAUUAAAAUAAAUGUUCUAUGCUCCAAAUUUUUAUUGGUUGUCACAUGUUUAAAUAUUUUAUAUAUUGUUGAUGCAAAGUUUUACAAUUCUUACAAGUAUUUAGUUAAAUAUUGUGGUAUAAUUAACAAAAGUAUACAGAUUCCCAAGAGUCUAUGGUUUUAAUGGACUAAGAUUGGCUUAAAUUUGAGAGAUAUGUUUGGCUGAAUUCUUAUGUUACUUCUAAGCAUUUUUAGGAAAAAAGAGUUUCAAAUAGAAUUGUUUUUUUAGUUAAUGCACCACUAUAGUAAUAACAAUAAUAUAUAAAUAUGAAUUUUUCGGUUCAUGCAGGAUGUUGCUGUCAGGUUAUUUGUAUAUAAAGAGUUUUCAGAUGAUGUGAUCGUAUCUUUUAAAAUGGAGGCAGUUUUUAUUUUUAUUUUUUUACAAUUUUAGAGAAGAUGUUAUCAGUUCACCUUAUGUGGAUAAUGCAUGAUUCGACAUUGACUCGUGCAGUCCUGCAACUGAUUUGUCUUUUAUGCUACAGAUGAGCGGUUCAAGAAUGAAAAUAGAUGGAAGAUUCAAACCUUGUGCUCACAUCGGCUGUUUUGAUAUUGAAGUGUUUUUGGAAAUGAAUCAACGAUCUCGUAAGGCAAGCUCUUUUAUCAACUCGUUGACAUUCAAAUUUGGAGUAAAUUGCUUCCUAAUUUACCCAAGAAGUUGCAAGUGCAAGUAUGAAAAGGCACCCGGAAGUUCUGAUGCCCAUCCGAAAGAGAAAUUUAAGCGCGAUAGUCUCUACAUAAACGACCAAGGGAAAUUCAAACACUUCAAUCAUAAAAAAGUUUCAAGGAAAAGGGGGAGAAAGAGGUGAGUGUCACUUUAUACAAGUAUGCAGAGGAGAUGAACACAUACAUGCCAUCAAAAAAUUAAAUAGGUGCACGUGGUUUUAGUUAUUUAAUUUGGGUGUUGAAGCUUUCUAAAGGUGAUGGGACUAGACAACUAGGAACCGUCUUUUCUGAGGUAUGUCAGCCUCCAAAUAAUGGAAAAAGUGGGCUUCUUAGAGCCGAUUGCCAAGGAGAAAAUCCAAAGGAAGCGUGUUUGAACCAUUUAUUCAAACAUUCAUAAAAUUUGUUGUUGGUUUUGUGUCUUAUAUUAUGUCUUUCAUAAUACAUAAUUCAAUAAAACAUUUGUAGCAACAUGGGGCUCUAACCUAGUUUCUUGAUAAUAUCAUCAUCGUGAUUAAAUGAA